rnacentral:rRNA from 1 species
UACGGGGGGGGGCAAGCGUUGUUCGGAAUUACUGGGCGUAAAGGGCUCGUAGGCGGCCAACUAAGUCGGAUGUGAAAUCCCCAGGCUUAACCUGGGAACUGCAUCCGAUACUGGAUGGCUUGAAUCCGGGAGAGGGAUGCGGAAUUCCAGGUGUAGCGGUGAAAUGCGUAGAUAUCUGGAGGAACACCGGUGGCGAAGGCGGCAUCCUGGACCGAGAUUGACGCUGAUGCGCGAAAGCCAGGGGAGCAAACGGG